UUGGCUUUUAAGCUGGUAUGGCACUAGGCCUGGUUUGGCACUAGGCUUGGUUUGGCACUAGGCUUUGUUUGGCACUAGGCUUGGCACUAGGCAUGGCUUGGCACUAGGCCUGGUUUGGCACUAGGCAUGGUUUGGCACUAGGCAUGGUUUGGCACGAGGCAUGGUUUGGCACGAGGCAUGGUUUGGCACUAGGCAUGGCUUGGCACUAGGCAUGGCUUGGCACUAGGCCUGGUUUGGCACUAGGCCUGGUUUGGCACUAGGCUUGGUUUGGCACUAGGCUUGGUUUGGCACUAGGCAUGGUUUGGCACGGUUUGGCACUAGGCAUGGUUUGGCACUAGGCUUGGCACUAGGCUUGGUUUGGCACUAGGCUUGGCACUAGGCUUGGUUUGGCACUAGGCAUGGUUUGGCACUAGGCUUGGUUUGGCACUAG
ensembl:lncRNA